rnacentral:rRNA from 1 species
GUGAACGCUGGCGGUAGGCCUAACACAUGCAAGUCGAACGGCAGCACAGAGGAGCUUGCUCCUUGGGUGGCGAGUGGCGGACGGGUGAGGAAUACAUCGGAAUCUACUCUUUCGUGGGGGAUAACGUAGGGAAACUUACGCUAAUACCGCAUACGACCUUCGGGUGAAAGCAGGGGAUCGCAAGACCUUGCGCGAUUGAAUGCGCCGAUGUCGGAUUAGCUAGUUGGCGGGGUAAAGGCCCACCAAGGCGACGAUCCGUAGCCGGUCUGAGAGGAUGAUCAGCCACACUGGAACUGAGACACGGUCCAGACUCCUACGGGAGGCAGCAGUGGGGAAUAUUGGACAAUGGGCGCAAGCCUGAUCCAGCCAUACCGCGUGGGUGAAGAAGGCCUUCGGGUUGUAAAGCCCUUUUGUUGGGAAAGAAAAGCACACGGUUAAUACCCGAGUGUUCUGACGGUACCCAAAGAAUAAGCACCGGCUAACUUCGUGCCAGCCGCCGCAGUAA